rnacentral:rRNA from 1 species
CCUACGGGGGGCUGCAGUAACGAAUCUUCCGCAAUGCACGCAAGUGUGACGGAGCGACGCCGCGUGUGGGACGAAGCCCUUCGGGGUGUAAACCACUGUCAGGGGCAGCCAAGUUCUGAGGCGCCCCAGAGGAAGGCACGGCUAACUCUGUGCCAGCAGCCGCGGUAAGACAGAGGUGCCGAGCGUUAGGCGGAAUCACUGGGCUUAAAGCGUGUGUAGGCGGGUCGUUCAGUGCCUUGUGAAAUCCCACGGCUCAACCGUGGAACCGCUGGGCAUACUGGCGAUCUUGGGCCGGCUAGGGGUCAUCGGAACAAACGGUGGAGCGGUGAAAUGCGUAGAUAUCGUUUGGAACGCCGACGGCGAAAGCAGAUGACUGGGGCCGCGCCGACGCUGAGACACGAAAGCCAGGGGAGCGAACGGGAUUAGAUACCCUUGUAGUC